ACUGCAUCCUCCGUUCCAAUUUUAGUGAAACCAUAAGUUUCCGUGCUUAAUUUUAACUGUUUAUUUUAUUUAAAUUUUUUUUAUAAUUAGUAUUUUUGUUGUUAUGAGAUGAUAAAACAUAAGUAUUACUUUAUGCGUGACUUAUGUUUUUAUUUUUUUUCAAAUAAAAAGGACGAUUAAAGUUAGAUAUAAAAACUCAUGGCUGCACUUAAAAUGGGACGGAGAGAGUACU
rnacentral:pre_miRNA from 1 species